GCAUUCUUAGCUUAGCUGGAUAAAGCAACAACCUUCUAAGUUGAAGAUCAUAGGUUCGAACCCUGUAGAAUGCA
rnacentral:tRNA from 2 species